UCCUCUGCAAGAGCAGUGUGUGCUCUUAACCACUAAGCCACCCUCCAGCACCCAGUGAAAAAGAAAACACAGCUGUGUUGAAAUUUUGUGGCUAGCUGCUGUUAAAAGCCAGCUGAGGUCCUGGAUUUCCUGGUCUCUGUGUAUCUUGCUUUUCUUUGGAUUGCUAAUGAAGUGACCUGGAAAGACAGGAAGAUGUACAGAAUUUCACAGGGAUGGAGAGAUGACCCAUCCAAACACUGCUCUUACAGAGGACUUGAGCUCCACUCCCAGGACUCACACCAAAGGAUCACCAAGUACCUGUGACUCCAGCUCCAGGGGAUCUGAUGUUCUCUUCUGGUCUUCUCCUCUAACUGUACAUUAUUCUCCCCCUCCACAUACCUUCCUUCCUACACACACACACACACACACACACACA